AUCGAACGCUGGCGGCAUGCCUUACACAUGCAAGUCGAACGGCAGCACGGGAGCAAUCCUGGUGGCGAGUGGCGAACGGGUGAGUAAAGUAUCGGAACGUGCCCAGUCGUGGGGGAUAACGUAGCGAAAGUUACGCUAAUACCGCAUACGAACUAUGGAUGAAAGCGGGGGAUCGCAAGACCUCGCGCGAUUGGAGCGGCCGAUAUCAGAUUUGGUAGUUGGUGGGGUAAAGGCUCACCAAGCCGACGAUCUGUAGCAGGUCUGAGAGGACGACCAGCCACACUGGGACUGAAACACGGCCCAGACUCCUACGGGAGGCAGCAGUGGGGAAUUUUGGACAAUGAGCGAAAGCCUGAUCCAGCCAUGCCGCGUGCAGGAUGAAGGCCUUCGGGUUGUAAACUGCUUUUGUACGGAACGAAAAGGUUUGGCCUAAUAAGCUGAGCUCAUGACGGUACCGUAAGAAUAAGCACCGGCUAACUACGUGCCAGCCGCCGCAGUAA
rnacentral:rRNA from 1 species